AUGGAGCCGACCUUGAAAUACCACCCUUUAAUGUUUGAUGUUCUAACGUUGACCCGUAAUCCGGGUUGCGGACAGUGUCUGGUGGGUAGUUUGACUGGGGCGGUCUCCUCCUAAAGAGUAACGGAGGAGCACGAAGGUUGGCUAAUCCUGGUCGGACAUCAGGAGGUUAGUGCAAUGGCAUAAGCCAGCUUGACUGCGAGCGUGACGGCGCGAGCAGGUGCGAAAGCAGGUCAUAGUGAUCCGGUGGUUCUGAAUGGAAGGGCCAUCGCUCAACGGAUAAAAGGUACUCCGGGGAUAACAGGCUGAUACCGCCCAAGAGUUCAUAUCGACGGCGGUGUUUGGCACCUCGAUGUCGGCUCAUCACAUCCUGGGGCUGAAGUAGGUCCCAAGGGUAUGGCUGUUCGCCAUUUAAAGUGGUACGCGAGCUGGGUUUAGAACGUCGUGAGACAGUUCGGUCCCUAUCUGCCGUGGGCGCUGGAGAACUGAGGGGGGCUGCUCCUAGUACGAGAGGACCGGAGUGGACGCAUCACUGGUGUUCGGGUUGUCAUGCCAAUGGCACUGCCCGGUAGCUAAAUGCGGAAGAGAUAAGUG
rnacentral:rRNA from 1 species